rnacentral:rRNA from 1 species
GCCGCGUGAGUGAUGAAGGUUUUCGGAUCGUAAAACUCUGUUGUUAGGGAAGAACAAGUACCGUUCGAAUAGGGCGGUACCUUGACGGUACCUAACCAGAAAGCCACGGCUAACUACGUGCCAGCAGCCGCGGUAAUACGUAGGUGGCAAGCGUUGUCCGGAAUUAUUGGGCGUAAAGCGCGCGCAGGCGGUUUCUUAAGUCUGAUGUGAAAGCCCCCGGCUCAACCGGGGAGGGUCAUUGGAAACUGGGGAACUUGAGUGCAGAAGAGGAGAGUGGAAUUCCACGUGUAGCGGUGAAAUGCGUAGAGAUGUGGAGGAACACCAGUGGCGAAGGCGACUCUCUGGUCUGUAACUGACGCUGAGGCGCGAAAGCGUGGGGAGCGAACAGGAUUAGAUACCCUGGUAGUCCACGCCGUAAACGAUGAGUGCUAAGUGUUAGAGGGUUUCCGCCCUUUAGUGCUGCAGCAAACGCAUUAAGCACUCCGCCUGGGGAGUACGGUCGCAAGACUGAAACUCAAAGGAAUUGACGGGGGCCCGCACAAGCGGUGGAGCAUGUGGUUUAAUUCGAAGCAACGCGAAGAACCUUACCAGGUCUUGACAUCCUCUGACAACCCUAGAGAUAGGGCUUCCCCUUCGGGGGCAGAGUGACAGGUGGUGCAUGGUUUGUCGUCAGCUCGUGUCGUGAGAUGUUGGGUUAAGUCCCGCAACGAGCGCAACCCUUGAUCUUAGUUGCCAGCAUUUCAGUUGGGCACUCUAAGGUGACUGCCCGGUGACAAACCGGAGGAAGGUGGGGAUGACGUCAAUUCAUCAUGCCCCCUUAUGACCUGCGGCUACACACGUGCUACAAUGGGCAGAACAAAAGGGCACAG